rnacentral:rRNA from 1 species
AGUGAACGCUGGCGGUAGGCCUAACACAUGCAAGUCGAACGGCAGCACAGUAAGAGCUUGCUCUUACGGGUGGCGAGUGGCGGACGGGUGAGGAAUACAUCGGAAUCUACUUUUUCGUGGGGGAUAACGUAGGGAAACUUACGCUAAUACCGCAUACGACCUACGGGUGAAAGCAGGGGAUCUUCGGACCUUGCGCGAUUGAAUGAGCCGAUGUCGGAUUAGCUAGUUGGCGGGGUAAAGGCCCACCAAGGCGACGAUCCGUAGCUGGUCUGAGAGGAUGAUCAGCCACACUGGAACUGAGACAAGGUCCAGGCUCCUAAGGGAGGCAGCAGUGGGGAAUAUUGGAACAUGGGGGCAAGCCUGAUCCAGCCAUACCGGGUGGGUGAAGAAGGGCUUCCGGUUGUAAAACCCUUUUGUUGGGAAAGAAAAGCAGCAGGUUAAUACCCCGCUGUUCUGACGGUACCCAAAGAAUAAGCACCGGCUAACUUCGUG